rnacentral:rRNA from 1 species
CCUACGGGUGGCAGCAGUGGGGAAUAUUGGACAAUGGGGGGAACCCUGAUCCAGCCAUGCCGCGGGUGUGAAGAAGGCCCUCGGGUUGUAAAGCACUUUCAGUGAGGAAGAACGCCUGGUGGUUAAUACCCAUCAGGAAAGACAUCACUCACAGAAGAAGCACCGGCUAACUCCGUGCCAGCAGCCGCGGUAAUACGGAGGGUGCGAGCGUUAAUCGGAAUUACUGGGCGUAAAGCGCGCGUAGGUGGCUUGAUAAGCCGGUUGUGAAAGCCCCGGGCUCAACCUGGGAACGGCAUCCGGAACUGUCAAGCUAGAGUGCAGGAGAGGAAGGUAGAAUUCCCGGUGUAGCGGUGAAAUGCGUAGGGAUCGGGAGGAAUACCAGUGGCGAAGGCGGCCUUCUGGACUGACACUGACACUGAGGUGCGAAAGCGUGGGUAGCAAACAGGAUUAGAUACCCUGGUAGUA